rfam:Streptococcus sp. DD12 genomic scaffold scaffold00001, whole genome shotgun sequence.
AUAUCCUUUAAUUCAGUCCAGAGAGGCUGCAAAGGCACCAAGUGAUAAAAAAAGCAGGCCUAUAGCCCCUGCUGGAUUUUGUGUGACCUUGCCCUCUUGGGUGAGGUCUUUUUUGGU